GCAUUUUUGCUGAGCAAGGUGGGCUUCUCCGGGAUUUUAGUUCAGGAGGUAGAAUGCAGCUUGAGAUCAAGUGUCUGAUCAAAUAACUUGAACUUGAUCUGGAGAGCUCUGGGGAGCCAUAGAAGUUGUUGGAUAAAGGAGGGACAGUCGUAUAUGUUUUAGAGAUGACUGUGGAAGGCUGCCUGGAAGGAGUGAACAAGAGCCAGGAGACCAGGGAGGGAGCUUGUGGGGCAGGUCUGGAGAUGACAAGGGAGGGAUCCUGCUUUGAUGAAAGGUCUUCAGGGAAUGUCUCAGGUUACACUCAGGUGUCCUCAGAGCUAGUGUGUUCAGGGGUCUUGCCUCCAGGAUGAAAAUGAGAAGGAGUUGUCAGACAAGAACAUAUAAAUGAAGGCUGGCAUCUUCGUGAGUGCCAAUCGUUGUCCUGGUGUGGACUACUGUGGGAAUAGGGGUCUCUCCAUCCAGGGACAUGGUGGAUGGACCCUACAUCACUCCAUUCUGCCCUUCCUUUCCCUCCCAUUCUGAGGGCCUCAGUGCAAGGGCGCUGUCCAACCUCUGGUGCUGAAGCAGCCGAGAGACCCAAGCCUGCCACUCAGGAUAUGACAGCACAGCCAGUGGCCUCUACUGGAUCCUGUACAACCUCAGAAGACACCUAGACACUGGGAGUGCUGCCACCACGUGGUGCAAGAGUUCUGAGGGACCGCAAUUCUGAAGACAUUGAAUGCUCAUCUGAUCUCCUGGGAUCUCUACUAAGAUGUUGGCAGCCCAACCAGCUGGUCUGGCCCUGGACAUGCCUUCAGGGACUGGUUAUGCUUCAUGACCUGUGUUGCGGUCAUUAGUAAACAGCACCUGCUUCUAGCUUUACUGUUGGGCCUGAUUUUAUCCCUACCCUGGCUUUUCAUUGCAGCUGCUUCCUGCUCCCUCCAUGGACCUGCACAGAAUUGUCCCAUGUUUCUGUUUGUUUGGGCACCACUGAGGAAGGAAGCAUGAAGGACGCAGAGGUCAGGCCAUUCUAUUGCCCUCCUGCUGCUGGGUCUUUAAUCCUGAGAUGGCUUCAGGGGCUGGUCCUUCUCCAUGGCCCCCUCCACAUAUCUCAGCCAUUUUGCAAACCCUGGUCAGAAUGAAACAUUCCUUGGGAACUCGGGCCAUGAGAAGCAUCCUUCCUGACCACCUGACUGCGGAAACAUCCUUAUCGCAUCCUCCCGGGCGAAGGCCCAACAGCCUGACUGCAGGAACAUCCUUGCCAUAUCCUGCCGGGCAGCAAGCUCUACCGCCCAGACCCCUCCUUCCCAGUCCCAUGAUCGCCCCAGCCUGUGAGCGGCAGUUGGUGAUGGCACUAAGCUGAUUUCCUCCUCUGCAGGGUUUUGCUAGUAAUAAAGGUGUUGCUGUUGAAGCCACCAA
rnacentral:lncRNA from 1 species